rnacentral:rRNA from 1 species
UACGUAGGGCGCAAGCGUUGUCCGGAAUUAUUGGGCGUAAAGAGCUCGUAGGCGGCCUGUUGCGUCCGCUGUGAAAUCCCGGGGCUUAACCCCGGGCUUGCAGUGGAUACGGGCAGGCUGGAGGCAGGCAGGGGAGAACGGAAUUCCUGGUGUAGCGGUGAAAUGCGCAGAUAUCAGGAGGAACACCGGUGGCGAAGGCGGAUCUCUGGGCCGUAACUGACGCUGAGGAGCGAAAGCAUGGGGAGCGAACAGG